CAAAGUUGCAACUUGAGUCCAUGUAUAAAGUUCUUCCAAUCAAAAUUGGCUUCAGUUCCAGGUUCACACGUCACGCAUAUACCUCUGAUAACAGAAAUAUAUAGGAAAGAAAAAACUGAGAUAUAGUUAGGCCUUGCAGAUUCAAAUAGUAAGCUUGAGAGCAUUUAAGCUGGCUGAUAGUACCAAGAUCAAUAGGUGAACAUGGAAUAAACAAUUUCAAACAAGUUAAUUACAUACCCUGAGCUUUUAUCCAUUCAUGAAAAUUUCAGCAAUUAAAACUGACGCCUUGGACGAGCCUCAGCAGGGCUAACUCGAAUUGACCUUCCAUCAAGGUCCUGCAAAAUGAAAUUUCAGGGUCGUUUUUUGAUAAAAAAUUAGAAUCAACAACAUGGUACCUAUAAGGUAUAUAACACAUAUUUCUUAAACACAAUAAUAUAACAUUGCUGCCCAAGGUAUAAAGAUACUUGAUAAGUAGAUAUUGUUAUUACAUUUAAAUUAAUUUCUUUUUAGUUGCAAAAUUGAGGUGUCUCCCAGCAUAUGCAUGUCUACAGGCAUGUUUUCAAUAUUUAUUGUUAAUCCAUAACCCUGGCCUCUUCAGUUCCAAGGCUUCUUCCAUUUUCAGGCAAGAUACGACCUUGUAGUACUCUCAACCAUCCAUGUCAUAGUGACCCACAAUUCCUUGCUAAACCACAACAGUAUAAUGUCUGGUUCGGUGGGUUUACAAUUUAAACAUCAGGCUUAACAGGGUUUAGUAACUAUUAUUUUAAAACGUGUAUAAACAUACAUUUCAGAAUGACAAAUUUAUGCAUGCUUACAUAU
rnacentral:lncRNA from 1 species